UUACUUACCUGGCGGGGGAGAUCCCCUUCUUCUCAGUCUUGAAUGGCUUGGUGUAGUUGGAGGGUGAAGGCCUGUCCCUUGUGCUGCAGGCGGGCUGACCUCUGCAAGAGUCUACAAAUGCCUCUAACUGCAAGGAUCUGGACUACACAGUUUAUGGUGAUGGGGGAUUGCUUUUGGGCUUCCCCCCU
rnacentral:snRNA from 12 species